AAUGGAGGAAACUCUGAUGCAGCCAUGCCGCGUGAGUGAAGAAGGCCUUUGGGUUGUAAAGCUCUUUUGUCGGGGAAGAAAAUGACUGUACCCGAAUAAGAAGGUCCGGCUAACUUCGUGCCAGCAGCCGCGGUAAUACGAAGGGACCUAGCGUAGUUCGGAAUUACUGGGCUUAAAGAGUUCGUAGGUGGUUGAAAAAGUUGGUGGUGAAAUCCCAGAGCUUAACUUUGGAACUGCCAUCAAAACUUUUCAUCUAGAGUAUGAUAGAGGAAAGCAGAAUUUCUAGUGUAGAGGUGAAAUUCGUAGAUAUUAGAAAGAAUACCAAUUGCGAAGGCAGCUUUCUGGAUCAUUACUGACACUGAGGAACGAAAGCAUGGGUAGCGAAGAGGAUU
rnacentral:rRNA from 1 species